UCUUGAUAUUUAUAGCGUAGCGGACCCACUCCAAUCCAUACCGAACUUGGUUGUUAAACGUUACAGCGACGAUGAUACUGAAAGGGAAGCCUUUUGGGAAAGUAGUUCAAUAUCAGGA
rnacentral:rRNA from 1 species